GACAGAGGAUGCAAGCGUUAUCCGGAAUUGAUUGGGCGUAAAGGUACGGUCUGUAGGUGGCUUUUUAAGUCCGCCGUCAAAUCCCAGGGCUACAACCCUGGACAGGCGGUGGAAACUACCAAGCUGGAGUACGGUAGGGGCAGAGGGAAUUUCCGGUGGAGCGGUGAAAUGACGUAGAGGAUCGGAAAGAACACCAACGGCGGAAAGCAACUCUGCUGGGCCGACACUGACACUGAGAGACGAAAGCUAGGGGAGCGAAUGGG
rnacentral:rRNA from 1 species